UACGGGGGGUGCGAGCGUUAUUCGGAUUCAUUGGGCGUAAAGGGCGCGUAGGCGGUUGGGUAAGUCUGGUGUGAAAACGCUAUCGCUCAACGAAGCGAGUGCAUUGGAUACUGCCUAACUUGAGUGCAGGAGAGGUGAGCGGAAUGAGUGGUGUAGCGGUGGAAUGCUCAGAUAUCACUCAGAACAUCUGUGGCGAAGGCGGCUCACUGGCCUGUUACUGACGCUGAGGCGCGAAAGCGUGGGGAGCAAACGG
rnacentral:rRNA from 1 species